CGACGGGUAGCCGGCCUGAGAGGGCGACCGGCCACACUGGGACUGAGACACGGCCCAGACUCCUACGGGAGGCAGCAGUGGGGAAUAUUGGGCAAUGGAGGAAACUCUGACCCAGCGACGCCGCGUGCGGGAUGAAGGCCUUCGGGUUGUAAACCGCUUUCAGUAGGGAAGAAGCGAAAGUGACGGUACCUACAAAAGAAGCACCGGCUAACUAUGUGCCAGCAGCCGCGGUAAUACAUAGGGUGCAAGCGUUGUCCGGAAUUAUUGGGCGUAAAGAGCUCGUAGGUCGUUUGUUACGUCGGAUGUGAAAACCUGAGGCUCAACCUCAGGCCUGCAUUCGAUACGGGCAAACUAGAGUUUGGUAGGGGAGACUGGAAUUCCUGGUGUAGCGGUGGAAUGCGCAGAUAUCAGGAGGAACACCAAUGGCGAAGGCAGGUCUCUGGGCCAAUACUGACACUGAGGAGCGAAAGUCUGGGGAGCGAACAGGAUUAGAUACCCUGGUAGUCCAGACCGUAAACGGUGGGCACUAGUUGUGGGAACCUUCCACGGUUUCUGCGACGCAGCUAACGCAUUAAGUGCCCCGCCUGGGGAGUACGAUCGCAAGAUUAAAACUCAAAGGAAUUGACGGGGCCCCGCACAAGCAGCGGAGCAUGCGGCUUAAUUCGACGCAACGCGAAGAACCUUACCAAGGCUUGACAUAUAGGGAAAAGUGGCAGAGAUGUCAUGUCCGCAAGGGCCCUAUACAGGUGGUGCAUGGUUGUCGUCAGCUCGUGUCGUGAGAUGUUGGGUUAAGUCCCGCAACGAGCGCAACCCUCGUUCUGUGUUGCCAGCAUUUAGUUGGGGACUCACAGGAGACUGCCGGGGUUAACUCGGAGGAAGGUGGGGAUGACGUCAAAUCAUCAUGCCCCUUAUGUCUUGGGCUGCACGCAUGCUACAAUGGCCGGUACAGAGGGCUGCAAUACCGUAAGGUGGAGCGAAUCCCAAAAAGCCGGUCUCAGUUCGGAUUGAGGUCUGCAACUCGACCUCAUGAAGUUGGAGUUGCUAGUAAUCGUAGAUCAGCAACGCUACGGUGAAUACGUUCCCGGGGCUUGUACACACCGCCCGUCACGUCACGAAAGUCGGUAACACCCAAAGUCAGUGGCCCAACCGCAA
rnacentral:rRNA from 1 species